rfam:Oryza barthii chromosome 10, whole genome shotgun sequence.
AAAAAGACAAACCCUGGGUUUUCGUGUCCAAUGUUUGACUGUCCGUAUUAUAAGAAAUUUUUUUAUAAUUUCUAUUUUUAUUGUUGUUAGAUGAUAAACAUGAUUAAUACUUUAUACGUGACUUGUCUUUUAAUUUUUUUUUCAUAAUUUUUUUAAAUAAGACGAACGGUCAAACGUUGAACACGGAAACCCAGGGUUUGUCUUUUU